UACAGAGGUGGCAAGCGUUGUUCGGAAUUACUGGGCGUAAAGGGCGCGUAGGCGGUUCGUUAAGUCCUGUGUGAAAUCCCCCGGCUCAACUGGGGAACUGCACAGGAAACUAGCGGGCUUGAGUUCGGGAGAGGGAAGCGGAAUUCCGGGUGUAGCGGUGAAAUGCGUAGAUAUCCGGAGGAACACCGGUGGCGAAGGCGGCUUCCUGGACCGACACUGACGCUGAGGCGCGAAAGCUA
rnacentral:rRNA from 1 species